rnacentral:lncRNA from 1 species
UUUUUUUUACUUUAUGCUUUAAAAUGCACAACCCCAUGAAUCUUAACAUUUUUAUAAAACUAAUUGAUUUUGAAUGAGAUGAACUAUAAGAACUAAACGAACAUCUACAUCAUGCAUAUAUGACUCAAAGCUUUACAUGCUAUAGUGUGUAUUUAUUCAUAAUUUGGUUUCCAAAUCUCAUGCGUUCAAUGCAUGUGUACCUUGAUAGUUUUGAGUAGAGUAGCAAAUUUCACGCGGUCGCGGGUAUAUUAAAAUGCAGGGCCCAUGCAUCACUGCCUUUCGGUCAAACCUACGUCCACAAUUUUUUGUACGUAUAUCUCCACUAGUCCCAGAACCCAAAAUGCUGCCUCGUUCUCGUAAAACUAAGCGGCCCACACAUAUUAAGGCGUUGACUCGAACUCAAUCCCUGUCGACGUGGCCCCGCACGUCGUAGUACUCCUACAAACCCUACCGCCUCACACAUCAUCAGUUUUCUACAAGAGGACGAGGGAGAAGCGGAUUUGUAGUGGAGGCAUUUUCAAAAAAAGGAUUUGUAGCAGAGACACCUACCCGAGGGUGCCCUAGGUAGCUACCGCACGCAUCAUUGGUUUUCUCUUUUCUUUAUGCUCUUGCGCCCUAGAGUGAAAUGAUGGUUGCUUUGUCCAUGUAGCUUAAUGCGGGAAAGGUGGGGCUUUGUGAUUUGACCCAUCAUCGCUCAUUUUCUACUACUGCGGCGCUACGACCGGGGUGCCUCCAAUUCCAACCACUGCUCCGAACUGUAAUUUGGUGCAUUGCAUGUGGAACAAGGCGGUGGAUGAGCCACAUGUCAGCCAAAGGGGUCCUGUUAACUAUGUCGCCAUUUCGUGUGCGGACUGGCCCUGCUUGAGUUGCUAUGCCAACACAACAGGAGCAGCCUGCCACUUGGUUUUGCUCCUUGGGGAAUCCCGAUUAUAUUGAUCUAUAAAUAUACAUACUAUACUACCCUCUCCGUCUCGGUUUAUAGGGCGUGCACGUAGUUCUAGGUCAUCCAUUUGACUAACUAAAUAUGAGUUACUAUGUCACAAAAAGUAUAUCAUUGGAUUCUUAAGCGGAUGUAGUUUCUAAGCAUAUAUUGUUCAUCACAUAUAUAGCCAGUUAAAUUAUCCACCUAGAAUGAUGUGCAUGCCAUGUAAACCAAUACGGAGGAAGUAGUAAAAAUGAGGUGAUUUUACCGAGCGAUGGGCGGGGGAGCAUGGCCUGUCAUGCGGUCCCACGUGUCAUGAUGUACCAAGGCGAUGCGUGUGUCCCUCUUGAGGCAGAAGCAAUACUACGUGGUUUUCUUGAAGGAGAUGAUGGCGAACUGAAGUGCGAAAUAAUGGUUGCUUCGUCCGUCUGGGAAGGUGAGGCAUCGUGAUUUGACGUCUCAUUGCUCAUUACUACUACCGGGGCGGUAUGACUGGGGUGCGUCCCCCUGCUGUUCUGCAUUGUUAUUUGGUGUUUGAUACGUCAACCUGGUUGCUAUAUGUCCCACAUGUCGGCGAGAGGAAGUACAUAAUUCAUGAAAGCGAGCGUCAACGGAGGAGUACAAGACACGGCUUGGUUUUUGCUGCUUCACGCGAUCCAUCGAUACAAACCCGGACUAAAAAAGGCGAGGGCGGGUCUUUUCCCGCGCGGUAGGCAGGGGAGUCUGGCAUAGUCUAUUCGAGGCAAGGAGGCAGGAAGGGAAACAAGCAAAUAAAGGUUGAGCGACUUAGUUUUGGGAAAAUCUUAUUUUAUGGAGUACGUACCCACUAUGGAGGUAGUACUACUUACUACUCCCUCUUUUCCGGUUUUAGUGCUGCUAUACACACGACGCCGUGCGGACGACUUGCGCACGACAGCACAUAUCAAGCCGUUCAUGCAUACUAUCCAGCACAUAUCAGCGGUUGGAUUGCACAUCAUCCCAGAGUCAUGCACACAUCCAUUGUCUAUGUAGCACUUUCGUUCCGGUUUAUAGGGCUCAUCUAAAAAAAUCGUUUUUCUGUUUUAUAAGUCUCAAUUCUAUUACUAGUAGUAGUACCAUCACAUGUUGGAUUUCGAGGUGCGUUAAAUCACCCGAUGCAAGCAGUGUCAAGAGAAAACUCACCAAUGCAUGUAGAAGUCAAAUUUAGUGGUCAUGCAUACAUUUGUUCUAAUUAAUGCAUCGAUAAAAAUAACUUCUUGAGAAAAAUGAGCGUACUAAUUACUUGUGCAAAACUAUGAAAUUAAUUCCACCACUCACCGUCUACCUUGGUAGGAGAGAUUUUGAAUUUGAGCCAUAAACUGGAAAGGAGGGAGUAGUAAUUUUUGUCUCGAUUAUUAUUUGUGGCCUUGUAUAGAUGCAAAAUGUAUCUUUUUAUAGUGGCCUUGUAUAAGUAAAUGGAGGGAGUACUAAAGGACAUAUAUUCCAAACAAUAUGAUAAUCUCUCUAACCAAGGUAGGGACGAGGAGUAAACGGAGGGAGUAGUGAAAUUUUCUCCUCCUCCUGCGAGCCACCGUGCGCGUGGGCGAGGGAGCGUAGUAAGCAAGCUUCAUCUCAUCCUGCGAGCCACCGCGCCCAUGGAUGAGGGAUACGGCAUACUAAGCAAGCUUCCCCUCGUUCUGCGAGUUGACGGGACACAUCAAAAGUACUCUAGUGUAUAGAGCCUUGCCUCUAAGGUAGGCCCCACAUGGUUUGCCUCUUUUUUAACAUAACGCAUCAAGUCGCAAUUUGUUUGUUCACCCGUGGUAGACAAUCCUCCCUCCAUCAAGUGGACAACCAGUACACGUGUCAAAUACCACGUGGGCUGCCUUUUCGUAUAAAAAUGAGCUCUACCGUGUACCCGCGCGGGUGUGGUUGGGAAAGAGACGGGAGUACGUGCGCCGUGCGUGCACCUCUUCUCUUCCUACACGUCCCCCACCUACGUGGGUGUGUGAGAGAGAGAUACAAACCUAGACAUAAUGCGUCGUCCAUACCCAUGCCUCCGCCCAGUCCGACCAUCAGUCACCACCACGCCCCACUCCUCCUCACCUUAUCUCUCAUCUUUCUCCCUUCAUUUUUAUAUACAAGGCCACUAUCAAAAUUACAAUUUGCAGAUAUACCAGGUGAAAGUGCAACUAUCCCUAGGUGGUUUUGGUAAUUCCUAACAACAUAUAGCUCAUUGAGAUAACAUCAUUCCAAGAUGAAUAUUUCAGGAAAAGCUCAAUGAAUGGCAUGGCAUGGAUGAGAAAAGUGGAUCCCUCAAAAUGCUAAGGAUAAAAGGAUUGGCCCAAGCUCAAAAGCUCAAGACUCUACAUUUUAUAUUUUAGUGAUCCAAGAUCACAUUGAGUCUAUAGGAAAAGCCAAUACUAUCAAGGAGGGAUGAGGUGUUGCUUAAUGAGUUUCUCGCUCCACAGUGCUUAGUGAUAUGCUCCAAAACCCUCAACUACUUUCUCAUAUCCACAUAUGACCUAUACCAAAAGUCAAACUCGGCCCCACCGAUUCUUUCUACCCGGCGCCACCGAGUUCUGAUGUCAUAGCCACUGCCACAAACUCUAGGCAAAUCGGUCUCACCGAUAGGGAUCUCGGUCUCACCGAGAUGGGGUUAUAAUCUCUCUGUUUCCCUUCAUAACAUUUCGGUACCACCAAGAUGAGCGAUCGGUCCGACCGAGAUUGCAAUGUAAACUCCCUGUUUCCUUUUUGUAACAUUUCAGUCCCACCGAAAUGAGCGAACCGGUCCCACCGAAUUUACCUGACCAACUCUCUGGUUAGCUUAUUACCAAAGUCAAUCUCACCGAGUUUGUGUAAUUGGUCUCACAGAGAUUACGUUAUGCCCUAACCCUAACCAUAUCGGUCCUACCGAGUUGCAUGCCGGUCCCACCGAAAAUCCUAACGGUCACUAGAUUUGCUAAAUCAGUCUGACCGAGUUUCUCAAUUCGGUACCACCGAGUUUGGCAAGUUGUGUGUAACGGUUAGAUUUUGUGUGGAGGCUAUAUAUACCCCUCCACCUCCUCUUAAUUCGUGGAGAGAGCCAUCAGAACAAAUCUACACUUCCAACUUGCUGUUUCUGAUAAGGAACCACCUACACAUGUGUUGAGGCCAAGAUAUUCCAUUCCUACCAUAUGAAUCUUUAUCUCUAGCCUUCCCCAAGUUGCUUUCCACUAAAAUCUUCUUUCCACCAAAUCCAAAUCAUGUGAGAGAGAGUUGAGUGUUGGGGAGACUAUCAUUUGAAGCACAAGAGCAAGGAGUUCACCAUCAACACACCAUUUGUUACUUCUUGGAGAGUGGUAUCUCCUAGAUUGGCUAGGUGUCACUUGGGAGCCUCCGACAAGAUUGUGGAGUUGGACCAAGGAGUUUGUAAGGGCAAGGAGAUCGCCUACUUCGUGAAGAUCUACCGCUAGUGAGGCAAGUCCUUCGUGGGUGACGGCCAUGGUGGGAUAGACAAGGUUGCUUCUUCGUGGACCCUUCGUGGGUGGAGCCCUCCAUGGACUUGCGCAACCGUUACCCUUCGUGGGUUGAAGUCUCCAUCAACGUGGAUGCACAAUAGCACCACCUAUCGGAACCACGGCUCAAAAAUCACCGUGUCUCCAAAUUGUGUUUGAAUUCUCCAAACCCUUCCCUUUACAUUCUUGCAAGUUGCAUGCUUUACUUUCCGCUGCUCAUAUACUCUUGGCAUGCUUGCUUGAAUUGUGUUAUGAUUGCUUGACUUGUGCUAAGAUAGCUAAAAUCUGCCAAAGACUAAAAUUGCGAAAAGGACAAGUUUUGUUUGGUCAAGUAGUCUAAUCACCCCCCCCCCUCUAGACAUACUUUCGAUCCUACAAGUGGUAUCAGAGCUUUGGUCUCCAUUUUCUUUGAUUUCCAUAGCUUUUGGUGGUCAUAGCCUUGGUUUCACAACCUAGGAGAGUAUGGCGUCUAGCUAGGGAAAUUAUCACCGUAGAGGUCCUUACUUUGAUGGUACUAAUUUUGCUAGUUGGAAGCAUAAGAUGAAAAUGCAUAUUCUUGGACAUAACCCUGCCGUUUGGGCUAUUGUGUGUAUUGGCUUGCAAGGUCAAUUCUUUUAUUGGAGAGAACCGAACUGUGAAGCUAGUGCGGAAGAGUUGAAGAUGCUGCAAUACAACGCUCAAGCUUGUGAUAUCCUCUUCAAUGGAUUAUGCCCCGAAGAAUUCAACAAAAUCAGCCGUCUUAAGAAUGCAAAGGAAAUUUGGGACACUUUGAUUGAUAUGCAUGAAGGUACCGACUCCGUCAAGGAAUCCAAGUUGGAUGUGCUCCAAAGUCAACUUGACAAGUUCAAAAUGAAGGAUGGUGAAGGUGUCGCUGAAAUGUACUAUAGGCUUGCUCUUAUCACAAAUGAGAUUGCGGGCUUAGGAAGUGAAGAGAUGACCAAAAAAUUCAUCAUCAAGAAGAUCCUAAGAGCUUUGGACGGAAAAUAUGAUACCAUGUGCACAUUGAUCCAAAUGAUGCCCAAUUACAAAGAUCUCAAGCCAACGGAAGUCACUGGAAGAAUUGUUGCUCAUGAGAUCUCACUCAAGGAUAAGGAGGAACUUCACAACAAGUCAAGUGGUGCUUACAAAGCCUCAUGUGAAUCCCCCACAUCAUCAAGUGAGAAACAAACCUUCAAUGAAGAAUUGAGCUUAAUGGUGAAGAACUUCAACAAAUUCUACAAGAGUAGAAGCAAAGAGAGAAGCUCCAAGUCAAGGUCCUACAAUGACAAAAGAUCUUCUAGUCGAGAGCGCAAUUGCUACAAUUGUGGGAGACCCGGACACUAUUCCAAUGAGUGUACGGCACCCUACAAAAGAAGAGAAGACUCACCCAAGAGGAGAAGUAGAAGAGAAGAAUCACCACCAAGAGAGAGGAGGAGUAGACAUGAUCGUUAUGAAUGAAGAACAUCCUGGAGAAGCAAGGAUUCGGGAAGGAAGGAUAAGUCAUCAAGGAGCUACACAAAACGAAGACAUCAAGCUCAUGUUGGUGAAUGGGUAUCUGGCUCUGACUCCGACAAUCACUCCAAGAGAAGCUAUCACUCCGACUCUGAAUAUACUCAAGAUGAAGGUGUUGCCGGUCUAGCACUUGUAUCAACCAACUCCUAUGAUAUAUUUGAUUCACCAAAUGAAGGACUUGGAAUAUGCUUCAUGGCUAGAGGCCCAAAGUUAACACACCCCGAGUAUGUUGAUUUCAGUAGUGAUGAAGAUGACUUGCUAGGUGAUAAUGAUUUACUUGUUGACAACUCUAGUGAUGAAUACUAUGAUGAAACGUCAAUUAAUCAUGCUAAUCAAGAUAAAACGAAUGACAAUGAUAAGGAGAAGAUUGAGCUUAUAACUAAAGAACUAAACACUCUUAAGUUAGCUCAUGAAACUAUCUUAUAAGAUCAUCGAGAACUUUUAAAGACUCAUGAGAAGUUACGCUUUGAAAAGCUCAAUCUUGAGCAAGAGCAUGAGUUCCUAAAGGCAAUCAAUGAUGAUCUUCGUAAGAAAAGUUCUUCUUACAUUGCCAAGCAUUUACUCUUAUCUACUUACAUGCCUCAAGUCAAGUCCAUUAACAAGAACAAGAAGGAUUCUUCCUCUAGUAGUAACAAUAAUCAUGCUAAAUCCAAUGUUGUUGCUUCUAGUAGUUCUCUUGAUUCCACUAAUGAUUCUCUUAGCCAAGUUACACUUGAGCAAGAAAAUAGCUUAUUGAAGGGAAUCAUAGAGAAAGGUGUUUACAAGAGCCUUGCCGGGAGUAAGCAAUUUGAGGAAAUGUACGCAAGCAAGGAAGACAGCGGAAGAACCAAGGUGUUGGUUUUGAACGAAAGUUCAAUGCCAAUGGAGUUGAGUGGGAAGAAGAUCAAUAUCCCAAGACGAAGUUUGUUCCUCAACAAGAGAAGUAUGAUCCUACUUCCUUCAAGGGAACACAAGCUCAAGAUGAUCUUCCACCACAAGACCACAAGCAAAAGGGCAAGGACAAGCUUCAAGAGGAGAUUGAUGCAUUUGAAGAAGCUCCUAAGGCCUUGGUCAAGUGGGUUCCCAAGACCACGGCAAGUUAUACUUCAACAAGUACGACUACAACUCCAAGGAUUCCCAUCAAGAUGAUGUGGAUCCCGAAGAAGAAGAACUAGAGAGUUCUUGAGGGUGUCUCCACCAACAUAUUUCACUCAUAUCAUUUUGGCAACAACAAGUGUAAUCAACUUCCACAUCUUGCACUAGUUCAAGGAGUCACAAACCCUCUUGUUGGUAAGACAAGGGACAAGGUAAUCUAAUGCUUUCAUAGACAUCAUCUUGUGUGUGCAUCACUCUAUGUCUAUGGAUAUCCUUGUUUGUUCCUUGUGGGACUAACCCGUGUAGGUAUUGAAAGUGCAACUCACUCCAAGGGAUUGCUCCAAAUGAUCUACAUCAACAUUAAGCAUCCACAUCUUCAACGCUUACAUGAAGUCAUCAUCGACAAAACCCAAGGUUAGUUUAUCCCUCUAAGGGGAGAUCUCACAUCUAGGGGGAGCUUAACUCUAAGAAUUGAGUCAAAGCAACUCUAAUGGUGUGAACACAUCAAUGCAUUAUGUAAAAGUGGUAACCCCACUUGAGCUUAAACGAUGAGUAUGACCUAUGAUCAAAUGUUCUCAUUUGACUCCUAAGUCAAUAUACUCAUAUAUAGAUGACCUAGUAAUCACCAAUUGUUUGAUAGAUGCUAGAAUUGGGUGUGCAUGCUUUGCCACAUAUUUCAUUUGCCAUUUUAUUGUGUGAGCAUGUUGGUUGCAUAUUUUACUCAUUCGAGGACAUCCACUUGUUGUUUUGAUUGAUGGGUUUCAUUUUUUUGGCCAAGUGGAUGGACAAAAAUGCCUAAGAACCUUCUCUAGCUAUCUAUGCUUUUCUCGUCUCAAACUCUAUUCAUGCUACAUCACAAAAUUUGAUCAAGUCAGAUUCGAACCACUCUGUGUGAGGAGCACUCGGAGUCCCCGAUUCGUCAUAGACUUAAACUUCCAAAACUUCUUUGUGCAUUUCGGUCUGACCGAUUCCUCCAUUUCGGUCAUAACGAGAUCACUAAGUCAAUCUAGGUUUUUAAUCUCGAUGCAACCGAUUUGAACUUUUUGGUCACACCGAGUUGCUGUAACUGUCAACAGUUAUGCAUCUCGGUGCCACCGAGUCGUUCCACUCGGUCACACCGACAGGGUCGGGCUAUAUAUACUCACAGGCAAAAAUUUGGAAACUUUCUCCAAACCCCUUUGCCCGCGCAUAGCUCACUCUGCCUGCAGGGUCUCCAGAUCGUCCUCCUCGUUGCCAGCCGCCUCCAGUCGCUGGUCUCCGCCACCGUCAACAGAAUUCACCCCCGCCAUUGCUGCCGUAGCGAGUUCAUCGCCAAGCUAGGGUAUGGACUCGAUCACAGUGCUAUCCCCGUCCGAUUCCUAGCACAUUGUGUUCAUCAUGAUUCUUGCCACGAUUGAAACAAGUCUAUCCAGUCAAAACAAUCCUUAGAUUAGAAGUGAAUUGAAAAUUUAGGGUUAGGUUUCCGCCGAAACCAUCUCGGACCCAUCGAGUUGUAGAACUCGUUUCCACCAAUUUGGCUAAUGCCAUUGCACAAGUAUUCUCGGUCUGACCGAGAAUUGCAAAUCGUUGUGCCCGAGUUCAGGAUUUUGUGAAACCCUAGCAGUCUCGGUGCCACCGAACUGUGACUCGGUCUGACCGAGUUCACUAGUUUAGGUUCCAAAAGCUGCUUCGGUAUCACCGAGUUUGCAAAUCGGUUGAUCCGAAAUGCUUUCUGUGGAAAACUAAAACUAAGUUUUUGAAUCAUUCUUUUGCAAAAACCUCUGUAUUUUGUGAUGCUCAUCCACUCUAUCUCAUCUACAUCUAUUCACAGGGUCAGCAGUCAGUGUUUGCAAUAUGUCUGAUCAAAGUGACAGCCAGAACAGAGAAGAGGAGCAGAUUCAGAUGAGUGAGGGCACUAGUCCCUCUAGUACCUCUGAUGAGGGCAGCAGGAGCACCCCAAGAAACUUGCCUAAAGCUGCCACCAGGGCCAGAAAGAAGAAAACCUCAGAAUCUGAGGAUGAAGACUAUGUGGCAGUAGAGGAUGAGGCCACUUCCAAGAAGAAAGUGCUCAAAAAGGAGUAUGGCACAGCUGCAUCCAUUAAGCCUAGAAUGAAGAUCAAAGUGCCUGCAAAGAGAACUCCCAUGUCUAAAGCCAGAGCCUCUACUCAAGUACCUUUGGAAUCUCAACCCAAAGAGGCUGCUGCAGAAGGGAAGAAAAGGAAGGAAAGGGUCAAGAAGACCAUGGCCAGAGUUAUUGGAAAGCCUUCCAUGAUGGAAGAGGGAGAGGAAGAAGAUGUUGCUCCACCAGCACCCAAGGCUCAGAAGCUUAUGGGUGAUGCUAUUAGGUCAGGGGUUGCAUCAUCAAAGCCCAAAGAAGCACCCAAAGCUGCCUCCAAACAAAGACUACACCAAAGAGGAAUACCAGAAACAUAUCUGCUGCUGAGAAGAACAAGGCCCCAGUGCCUGAGACUGUUGCUGAAGAAGAAGAUGAAGAGCAUGUUUUGAGAAAGUUGAAGCCAAAGAUUCCAUACCACAAUGAUGCUCAUCCUGUGGCUGAGAACAUGAAACUGAGGAAGGAUGCAGGACUCAGACAGUGGAGGUUGUCUAAUCCCUAUGCUAUCAGGAGAAGGACUGCUAUUGACUACAGGUUCCAUACUAAGGAACAGCAGGAUUUCUAUGAGAUAGUGUUGUUGGACAAGAAGCCUAUAGUGUGUGACAUGAGAUGGGUCGACUGGACCUACAUAAAGGAGAAUGAGGAACACUAUCCUGGUGUGCAAGACAGUUUUAGUGCUUGUGGAGUUGCAGACUUUGUUGGGCAGAAGCUCACAAAGUGGAAUGAUGAGCUCAUAAUGCAAUUCUACUCCACAGCACACUUUUAUCUAGAUGGCAGGAUAGUGUGGAUGUCUGAAGGUACAAGGUACCAAUCAACUAUUGAGGAAUGGGCAAAUUUGAUCAAUGCACCUAAGGAGAAGGAAGAUGACUUGGAUGUCUAUGCCAAGAAGAAGAUGGAUCACAGCUCCAUGGCUCAUAUGUACAAGGAGAUCCCAGAUGCUGCAGUUGAGACACAUAAGUUUGGAUAUGUACAUUAUCUUCUGUCAGGACUCCCAACUAUCAACUGGAUCCUCAGGCAUACUCUCUUUCCCAAGUCAGGUGACCACAAUAUGAUUAGAGGCCAUGCAAUAAACUUGCUACACUUAUUUGAUGUGCCACAGAAGUUCAAGGUCAUGAGCCUCAUAGUUGAGACUAUCAAGAGGACAAUAGGUGACCAGAAGAGAAGUUGUGGGUAUGCCCCACAGAUUCAGGAGCUAAUUAACUCCAAGAUGGGCACAUGCACAUACUUGCUGGACAAGGAACAUUUUGCUAUCUAUCCAGAAUUUGAGGACAACCAAGUGGUUAUGGAUGAAGAUGAACCAUCUUCUGUGCAUGCUCAAGCCAAGAAGGAGAAGGCAAGGACAGAGAAGGCUACCAAGAUGCCAACAAUGGAAGAGGCAUCUCAGUACUUUCUGAAGAGCAAACAGGAUCAACUAGGCUACUUGAUUGCAUCCAAUCUAAGGAUUGAGAAGGGGCUGGCCACCUUGACUCAAAACCAGGAGAGCCUGGAGAGGAUCAUGGAGCAGAAGUUCUAUGACUUGGAUGUGAAGGUAACUGAGAUCCAGUCUGUUGUUGAGUAGCUUCAGGAUGAUAUGCAGGAGAGGAAGGGCAAGACAAUCACAGAUGCAUUUGUCAGAGUGCCUACAGCUCAGAGAUCAGCUGCAGUGCCAGUGGCAGACACCAGAGCCACUUCAUCUGCACCAGCUACAGCUCCUACAGCUCCAGCGCAACCAGCUUCAGCACCUACACCUCCAGCUGCAUCCACAUCUACUGAAGUCUUCGUCCAAGGAGCCAUCUCUACACCACCACCUGAAGAUCAAGCCUGAGAGUCGAUCUAGUGCUAUGCAUUUUCUAUGAACUUUUUGGUAACUUGUUGCCAAAUGGGGAGAAAAAUGUAUAGAUCAUAGGCUUCGAGAGAGAGAGUGUUGCCUUUUAUUCUCUAUUGCUUUGGUGGUUGAACUUUAUUUGCUUGUUUGAGAUACUCUAUGUCUGUGUGAUACUUGGAUGAUCAUGUGUUUGAUCAUAUGCUACAUUUAUGCAUGUUGGAUGACAUUAUCUCGUUUAUCCCUAUAUGAUCAUUCACUUUGCUUGGUGAUGAGUGCAUGUAUUCAGUUAUUAUUAUUUUGAGCGCUCCACCAAGAUGUAUGUGACAUGGAAGAGUUACCCAUGAGCCUAACUCCUUGUGCAUUUGCAGUCCAAAGCAAAUCUUAAACUAUGCACAAAUUUAGGGGGAGCUCUUGCUUAUCACAUACUUCUCAAAGAGACAAUGUUUUUCACUCUUAUUAUCAUUUGUCGAAGCUUUGAUCUAUAUGUUGUCAUAAAUUGCCAAAAAGGGGGAGAUUGAAAGUGCAACUAUCCCUAGGUGGUUUUGGUAAUUCCUAACAACAUAUAGCUCAUUGAGCUAACAUCAUUCCAAGAUGAGUAUUUCAGGAAAAGCUCAAUGAAUGGCAUGACAUGGAUGAGAAAAGUGGAUCCCUCAAAAUGCUAAGGAUAAAAGGAUUGGCUCAAGCUCAAAAGCUCAAGAGCCUACAUUUUAUAUUUUAGUGAUCCAAGAUCACAUUGAGUCUAUAGGAAAAGCCAAUACUAUCAAGGAGGGAUGAGGUGUUGCUUAAUGAGUUUCUUCCUCCACAAUGCUUAGUGAUAUGCUCCAAAACCCUCAACUACUUUCUCAUAUCCACAUAUGACCUAUACCAAAAGUCAAACUCGGCCCCACCGAUUCUUUCUACCCGGCGCCACCGAGUUCAGAUGUCAUAGCCACUGCCACAAACCCUAGGCAAAUCGGUCUCACUGAUAGGGAUCUCGGUCUCACCGAGAUGGGGUUGUAAUCUCUCUGUUUCCCUUCAUAACGUUUCGGUACCACCGAGAUGAGAGAUCGGUCCCACCAAGGUUGCAAUGUAAACUCCCUGUUUCCUUUUUGUAACAUUUUGGUCUCACCAAAAUGAGCGAACCAGUCCCACCGAGUUUACCUGACCAACUCUCUGGUUAGCUUAUUACAAAAAUCGGUCUCACCGAGUUUGUGUAAUCGGUCUCGCCGAGAUUACGUUAUGCCCUAACCCUAACCAUAUCGGUCCUACCGACUUGCAUGUCGGUCCCAUCGAAAAUCCUAACGGUCACUAGAUUUGCUAAAUCGGUCUGACCGAGUUUCUCAAUUCGGUCCCAUCGAGUUUGGCAAGUUGUGUGUAACGGUUAGGUUUUGUGUGGAGGCUAUAUAUACCCCUCCACCUCCUCUUCAUUCGUGGAGAGAGCCAUCAGAACAAAUCUAUACUUCCAACUUGCUGUUUCUGAGAAGGAACCACCUACUCAUGUGUUGAGGCUAAGAUAUUCCAUUCCUACCAUAUGAAUCUUUAUCUCUAGCCUUCCCCAAGUUGCUUUCCACUCAAAUCUUCUUUCCACCAAAUCCAAAUCAUGUGAGAGAGAGUUGAGUGUUGGGGAGAUUAUCAUUUGAAGCACAAGAGCAAGGAGUUCACCAUGAACACACCAUUUGUUACUUCUUGGAGAUUGGUGUCUCCUAGAUUGGCUAGGUGUCACUUGGGAGCCUCCAACAAGAUUGUGGAGUUGAACCAAGGAGUUUGUAAGGGCAAGGAGAUCGCCUACUUCAUGAAGAUCUACCGCUAGUGAGGCAAGUCCUUCGUGGGCGACGGCCAUGGUGGGAUAGACAAGGUUGCUUCUUCGUGGACCCUUCGUGGGUGGAGCCCUCCGUGGACUCGCGCAACCGUUACCCUUCAUGGGUUGAAGUCUCCAUCAACGUGGAUGUACGAUAGCACCACCUAUCGGAACCACGGCUCAAAAAUCACCGUGUCUCCAAAUUGCAUUUCAAUUCUCCAAACCCUUCCCUUUACAUUCUUGCAAGUUUCAUGCUUUACUUUCCGCUUCUCAUAUACUCUUGGCAUGCUUGCUUGAAUUGUGUUACGAUUGCUGGACUUGUGCUAAGAUAGCUAAAACCUUCCAAAGACUAAAAUUGGGAAAAGGACAAGUUUUAUUUGGUCAAGUAGUCUAAUCACCCCCCCCCCCUCUAGACAUACUUUCGAUCCUACACAAGGCCACUAACAUUACUUGAUGCAAUAUUAAUGGUGCUUGCCUCAUAGUACUAGCAAAGGAGUACAUUAAUUAUCCCUUGCAUGCAUGCAGGAGUGUGAGCAUUGGCUUGAUAUGCAUGAAAGAGAAGAAUACACAUUAAUUUACACGGUAACAAGGAAACAAGGUGGCUUGCAAAAUUGACUUAGAAGACAUUAAUUUUUCCCUUGGUACCUAUAAUAUGGGUUUGCGUCCUUGUAUACAAAAAUGGAGUCCGAUAAAAUUCUCGAGAUAUCAUUAGUUUCUACACAUGGGAUUACUCCUGCAUGGGUCAAUCACAACAGGUGUUUUAUAUGCAUCUUGAUGUUUCGUGCAAUGCACGGGCAUCUUGCUAGUCCAUGAAAACAACACAUGGCAAAAUUUCACGGCAAACGAGGGAUUUGAAUCUGCUGGGAGGGGCUGUUUGGAUCUUGCCCGGGGUAGCCAAAAUAUUGGCGACCCUUUUGUCCACAUGUGCCUUUGCCGCCAAUGAACGAGGAAUGGCUUGGGUGCUCAUGCAUCCUCCAGCGCGCACAUUGGAGAUGAGCUCGCAUGAGUUGUGCUUUUUUUGUCCCACCACGCCGCCCGAGUCGGUCGCAAACCGACCGGCGACCCGCAAAUUACGCCAUCCAACCGUCGCCCACACAUUAUGACAGCAACUAAACCAACCAGACGAAAUUCAUGCAAACAUGGUAAUAUUUCAUAUAAACAAUGACGGAAAUCAUAUAAAAUACCAGAUUUUCAUACAAACAUGACGAAUUUCAUUACAUGCAAAUGAACUACGCAGUGCUAGUUCUGGAUAGCACAUGUAUAUAAUACCUGGCCUAAAUGGUCGCCCACCGAUCCAUUUGUGUUCCUCAUGUCCGGCAGCACGAUCACCGGACUACCGGGAGCCCCAGAGUUAUAUGCUUCAGCGCAAAGGAUGGCUCACUUCCCCACUGCCCAACUGAUAUCAUUGGUUGAUGCCGAAGAUGAUGGUGGAAGGGGGCUUCUCCGCUUCCAUGGAGCCCAUGCGGAGUCGACAAAGGUCCUCACAACAAAAGGAUCCGGCAAGACACCUACUGUGUACGCCGGUGUCGCCUCCGCGGUGGCCUUCAUGGGACCCAAGUGGCGGCAGCCUCUCGUGUUCUACUUCUCCUCGAUGAUGGUGGCGGACGCGGAGGCGCUGGCCAUUGACUCGUCGCUCUCUGUGCACCCGGCUUUUGUUGCUGCUUGCAUGGCGCGACCGUCGGCAUGGGAGUCUCGGCCACAGAAAUGGGAGACGCGGUUGCAGACAUGGUAGGCGUGGUAUGAGGCGGUGGCGUGGACGGCAGCGAUGACGCCCGUGCGCCGCUCCUCGUCGAGCUGGCCUGGUGCGGCGAGUUGCUUAACCAUGCACCGGCUUGGGGCGGCAACUGGCUCCAUCUGGCGAGGGAGGGAGGUGGAUCAGCAAGCUGCAUAGCUUGUAUCCGGCGGGCUCGGCGGGCCACCCAGCCGACUUGGAUGCGGGAUAACUACUCUUCAUAAACCAUUGUAAGAGUGGACAAAAUGAUGAAGGAGGAGAUAGGGGAGCGGCGGAGGUGUGCGAUUCUUGGCAGGCGUUUGGCCUCGUUUAAAUAGGAGAUUAAAUAGACGGCGAACGGGAGGAUCUCGGCCGGUGUUGCGUUUAAUGCCGGCCCAGUCAUGAACGAACGUGUGUCCAGAGUGGGUUUCUCGGCUUCCACACGGGCGGGUUUCAUGGGGGCGUUUGAAUGCGGCAAGGAGGCGUGUUCAGUCGGGCGUGCAUCGAGUGGCGCCCUCGACUCUGACGUACGACACCGCGCCGUUCUUCCACUUAUGUGUGGGCUCUUUGGGUACAUGGCCUGCAUGUCAGUGACCCAACGCAGGCAGCGCACGGCAGAGGAACUUUUGGUGGGCCAGGGUGGUCAGAAGCGGGCAUUUCAUAAACCGAUCAUUGUUCAUUGAGUGUGACGUCAUCUAUUUCAUGUAGAUAAGCCUACUAUAUAAUGUAAGAGAAUUUUAAAAUUUUCAUAUAUACCUUGAUAGCCCAUUCGAUAUGUUGUGAUUCAUAAAGACCGCUGCAAACAUCAAUGUUCUGCAUACCAUAGAUAAGAUUGAUUAAUACACGUAACAAUUCAUGUCCUUAACAAAGGGUGCAUGCAUGUAUAGGUUGAGCGUGUGUCUUGCGUCGUGUGUUGUGUGCGUGCAGGCAUGCAAGUGUUGCGUGCGUGCAUGGGUACGUUUCAAUGUUGCAUGCAUGUGUGCAUACGUGCGUGUGUUCAUGAGUGCAUGUGUAUGUGUUAGUGUAGCACGCCUGCAUGUGUGUGUGUGUGUGUGUUCGUUAUGUGUACGUGUCAGUGUUGCAUGCCUGCAUGCGUGCGUGUGUUCGUGCAAGUGUUGCGUGCCCCCUCCAUUCCAAAAUAAUCGUAGCUUUAGGAUUUUCAAGAGUAAAGAUUUGUGAAGUUUGACAAAUCCUGAAAGUUCAAUUCAAGAGAACCGAAAAUGUUAAUGCUUCUGCUCCCUUAUAUUGAACGAAGCGCCAAAUAAGCCUCUGGUCACCCGAAAUCGCGCGAGACUAAUGCUUGGUGGUAGGAACUACUGGCCUGACUCUGGCCCGUGUAGCCUAUCAGCCCGACGUCCAAAGGUCUAAACCGGGGUAGGUUUGUAACUUCACCAAGACGCCAGUCUCAAUCGCCUCUGAGAAGCAUUCAUACGCCGUGGGCGCCUAAACACCCAUGCGCUCGGCCGAAAUCUCUCCCGCCCACCAUUUGGGACACCUGAGAUUACUGUCCUACCCCCAACCUGCAAUAUGUCCAAAAUUUUAGAUGGGGGCAAAGUUUGUAAAUUUCCCCAAAUUUCAAGCAAGCGUGUCCCAAAUCGAAACAUUGUUCCCCCUUAGUUCCCCUUCCCUCCGUUUCCCCAUUCAUACUCCGUGGGCACCAAAAAACCCUCUCCACCAGCCGCGAAACCCCAGCCUCCUCCAUCCUCCACCCCAUAGCGCCCAAUCCACCGCUUCCCUCCUCCAUCACGCCGUACCCCGACGUCGUCGUCCAACACAACCGCAACCGCAACGCCCUCAAGGACUUAUCAGCUGAAGCCGAGGCAGAGCCGCCUCCACGACGUCGAUGCCAAUGUGCGCCGUACCAGAACCACUUCUACCACGCCAUCCUAUGCCUCACCGAUGUCGCUCCGCUGUCGCAACCGUCCACCGCACCGGAGCUGUUCCCGCUACACCGUCGUUCGCCGCCUCGGAUCUGGUUCCCCGUCACCGACAGACGGCCACCGCACCACACUCAACAACUUGGCCAUGGGUUCGUCCAAGGCUCCACCGUCCUCCACAACUUCUCGUUUCCGGUGAACCACAAGAAGAUCGUUGGAAAAACAGAAGGAGGACAUAGCACUGCCAGCAGAAAUAGGUACUCCUCUUCCCUUAUUCGUGCAAAUCUAAUGUCUCUGCUCACACCGUAUUCAUCCCACAAAAGAAACUAGUUGAGCACUUCUUACUGCAUCUUCUUCGUGAUACUAAAUGCACAAGGUUUCCUCCCAUUUACUAUUUCACCUUUGCUAGAGGUCAGUAGCUCGCAUGGAUUUCAAUUCAGGGUUAGUUGAACCGCAAUUAAAAGAAGCAGCACCCGCUUAGGCGCGUGAGCACCUAGUCCGCCUGUUCGCCAGGGAAGCGGCACAUCGGUGUCUAUCAUAGGGGUGUGGGGCGCAGGAGCUGCUUGCGCCCGAUCUGGAGGUCGGCGGGGCUUGAAGGGAUGGCCGGGGGGGCAGUGUCAAGCACGGCGGUGCGGUGAGGUCCAGGGGGGAGGCAGGGACUGGGCCAGUGGUCGCUGGCAUUUCGAGGAAGAUCGUAACACUGACUGGCUAGAGGUAGAUGAAGGCGAUCUGCCCAUUCUUUGUACAUCAAAUGAUGUAGAAAAAUGGACUAACCUAUUUGUUUUCAGUCGACUAUUAUUUUCAUAGAAUCCUAUAGUAAUUUCGUGUGCCAUGCAUGUUGUAGAGCUAUCAUAUGUCUCUCGUCAUUUAUUUCUCACCGACCUGCUAUCUGCUACAUUUACACUGUACUAAUUGUACACACUUCACCCAUACUCACACUAUUGUUUUUUAUGCAUGGGUAUUUCAGGCUCUAACGCAGUAUUGAUGAAUGCAAAAAAGAAAAGAUAGAAGUUGCUCCAGUGUAAUUCGAAGAUAAGCACUAAGCGUUUCAGCGCUCUAAAGGGUGUAGUGUCAGUAGUAGGAGACAGUAAACGUAGCUCUGCAGUUGAUGACCUCAAUUCCACACACAACCAUCCCAGGUGCUUGCUUUAACUUUGCGCUAUCAAAUGUGGUUGCAUGUUGCAUAUGGUGUCUAGCUUGUACUGCUUCCAAUUUGGUUAAAUUGCAUAUGCUUACUUUACACAUUAUACCUUUGAUAAUGACAUGCCUUCCUAUUUUUGAUACAUACUACAUAUGUCUAUUAACCAUGUUUGUACAUCAAACUAAUGCUCUUUUGUAUCCCUCAUAAAUCACUUAUGAUGAGACAGUCACCCCAGUGGGUUACUGUGAGAUGCGCUACUCGUUUAAAGAGUGCAGUGUCAUCCUCCCCACAUGAUUCUCAAGAAACAGCAAGGCUAAAUGAAGAUAGUCAACGUAGCUCUCUAGUUGAUGACCGCAAUUCCCCCAAACCACCAUCGCAGGUGCUUGCUCUUACUUGGUAGUGUGAUAUGUGGUUGCAUGUUGCAUAUCGUGUCUACCUUGUAAUGCUUCUAAUUAGGGUAAAUUGCAUCUGCUUAGUUAACACAUUGUACCUGUGAAUAUGGCAUGCCUUCCUAUUUUUGGUACAUACUACGUCUUUCUAUUAACCAUGUUCUUGCGUCAAACUACUUUUCUUGUGUAUCCCUCAUCAAUCACUUCUGACGAUACACCUUCAAGUUGAUAGUGUAAUAUUGGUUGCAUCUUGCAUAUCAUUUCAAACAUGUAUUUCCUCUAAUUUGUGGAAGUGCCACUUAUAAUGAGACACAUCUAACUUGGUAGAGUGAUUUUGGUUGGAUCUUUCAAAUGGUGUCUAGAUUUCAUUGCUUCCAAUUUGUUGAAAUGCCUUCUGCUUAACGUUUUUCAUACAUAUUCCAUCCUCCUACAAUGUGGUUGCCAUACAUAAAAGUUGUGUUCAUCAGUAUCAUGCAUCAACGAAUUUGGAAGUGUGAAUUUCAUUCCUUUUUCUUGUGCGUUUACUUGACAAGGCAAAAUCUAAAAGGACGAAGGCACGAAAUGAUUGUGGUCCUCUGGAGCAACCGAAACAAAUGAUAUCUGCAGAUUCUCCUGCUACUCCUACUGUAGUGCAAGUUCCAAAUCCCAUCUCCCCUACUCCACAAUCCCAGGUGCUUGCUCUAACAUGGCAGUGUGAUAUCUGAUUGCAUGUUGCAUAUGGUGCCUAGCUUGUAUUGCUCCUAAUUUGUUAAAUUGCAUCUCCUUAGCUUACACAUUAUACAUGUGAAUAUGACACGCCUUCCUAUUUUUGGUACAUACUACAUCUGCCUAUCACACCAUAUUCUUACAUCAAACUACUGUUGUUGUGUAUCCUGCAUCUAUCACUUAUGAUGAGACAAUCACGCCCGUGGGUUAGUAUGAGACACGCUACUCUUAUAAAGAGUGCAGUUUCAUCCUCUCCACAUGAUUCUCAAGAAACAACCAGCCUAAAUGAAGAUAUUGAACGUAGCUCUGUACUUGAAGACCGCACUUCCCCUACACCACCAUCACAGGUGCUUGCUCUAACUUUGCAGUGUGAUAUGUGGUUGCAUGUCGCAUACGGUGUAUAGCUUGUAAUGCUUCUAAUUAGGGUAAAUUGCAUCUACUUAGUUUACACAUUAUACGACAUGCCUUCCUAUUUUUGGUGCACACUACAUCUAUGUGUUAACCAUGUUCUUACAUGAAACCACCUCUCUUCUGUAUCCUGCAUCAAUCACUUACGAUGAGACACCUUUAUUCGUUGCAUAUUGCAUAUUAUUUCUAGCCUGUUGCCAUGCAUUGCUUCUAAUUUGGUCAAAUACAUUUGUUAGGCCACCCUUUUAAUUUGGCAGAGUGAUAUUGGUUUCAUCUUUCAUAUGGUUUCUAGCUUGCAUUACUUCUAACAAGUUCAGACACCUUGUGCUUAGUUUACACUUUAUACAUCAUACAUGUCAAUAUGUCACGCCGUCCUGUUUUUCAUACAUAUUCCAUCCUCCUAUCAUGCGGCUGCCUUACAUGAAAGUAGUGUUCGUCAGUAUCAUGCAUCAAUGGGUUCUAAAGAGAAAAUUUUAUUCCUUUUUCUUGUGGGUUUGACUUGACAAGGCAAAAUCAAGAAAGAGGAAGGAAAAGAGUAAGGAAUGUGAUGAUGGUGGUCCUCUGCAGUAAUGUAAAUGGAGCAUCUGUACAGAUUCUCCUUGUACUGCUAGUGCAUUACAAGGUCCAAGUCUCCGCUCCCCUACUCCGCCAUCCAAGGUGCUUGCUCUAACUUGGCAGUGUGAUAUCUGGUUGCAUGUCGCAUAUGGUGUCUAGCUUGUAUUGCUCCUAAUUAGUGUAAACUGCAUCUUCUUAGUUUACACAUGAUACAUGUGAAUAUGACACGCUUUCCUGUUUUUGGUACAUACUAUAUAUGUCUAUCACACCAUGUUCUUACAUGAAACUACUCUUCUUGUGUAUCCUGCAUCAGUCGCUUAUGAUGGGACACCUUUAAGUUGGCAGUGUGAUAUUGGUUUGCGUCUUGAAUAUGAUUUCUAGCAUGUAGUGCUUCUAGUUUGAUGAACGCCACCUAUGAUGAGACAGUUUUAACUUGGCAGAGUGAUAUUGAUUGCACCUUCCAUAAGGUGUCUAGCUUGCAGUGCCUUCUGCUUCGUUACCACAUCAUAGGUGUGAAUAUGUCAAGCCGUCCAGUUUUUCGUACAUAUUCCAUACUCGUAUCACAACUUUGCCUUUCGUCAGAGUAGUGUUCGUCAGUAUCAUGCAUGAAUGAGUUCUGAAGAGCGAAUUAUAUUCCUUUUUCUUGUCGGUUUGACCUCACAAUGCAAAAUCAAUGAAGCGGAAGGAAAUUGGUAAGGCAUUGGAUGAUGGUGGUCCUUUCGAGCAACUGAAAUGGAGGUUCUCUACAGAUUCUACUCCGCCAUCCUCCCAACAAGAUUCGCACGACAAUGGAAGGCUGGACAGUCAACGUAGUUGUGUAGAUGAUGAGCACAUCUCCCCUACUCCACCAUCACAGCUGCUUGCUCUAACUUGGCACUAUUAUAUGUGGUUGCAUGUUGCGUAUGAUGUCUAGCUUGUAUUGCUUCUAACUUUUUUGAAUUGCAUCUGCUUACUUUACACAUAUGUCUGUGAAUAUGACAUGUGUUCAUGUUUCUAGACAUACUAUAUCUAAUCACACCAUGUUCUUACAUCAGACUACUAUUCUUGCAUAUCCCGCAUCAGUCACUUAUGAUAAGGCACCUUGAAGUCGCCACUAUGAUAUUGGUUGUGUCUUGCAUAUGAGUUCUAGCAUGUACUACUUCUAAUUUGUUGAAACGCCAUACAGUUUGAACUUGGCAGAGUGAUAUUGGUUGCAUCUUACAUAUAGUGUCUAGCUUGCGGUGCUUCUAAUUUGUUGAAAUGCCUUCUGCUUAGUUACCACAUCAUAGGUGUGAACAUGCCAUCCUGUUUUUUGUACAUAUUCCAUCCUCGCAUCAUGUGUUUGCCUUUCAUCCGAGUAGUGUCCGUUAGUAUCAUGCAUGAAUGAGUUCUGAAGAGCGAAUUUUAUUCCUUUCUCUUAUCGGUUUGACUUCACAAUGCAAAAUCAUUACAGUUGAAGGAAAUUAGUCCGGCAGUGGAUGAUGGUGGUCCUUCAGAGCAACUCAAACAUGGGGUCUCUAUAGAUUCUACUCCGCCAUCCUCCCAACAAGAUUCGCAAUACAACACAAGGCUGGAUAGUCAACGUAGCUGUGUAGAUGAUGAGCACAUCUCCCCUACUCCACCAUCACAGGUGCUUGCUCUAACUUGGCACUAUUAUAUGUGGUUGCAUGUUGCGUAUGAUGUCUAGCUUGUAUUGCUUCUAACUUUGUUGAAUUGCAUCUGCUUACUUUACACAUAAUGCCUGUGAAUAUGACACGUGUUCCUGUUUCUAGAACAUACAUGUACAUGAUGAGCACUUCUCCCCUACUCCACCAUCACAUGUGCUUGCCCUAACUUGGAACUGUUAUAUGUGGUUGCAUGUUCCGUAUGAUGUCUAGUUUGUAUUGCUUCUGAUUAUGUUGAAUUGCAUCUGCGUAGCUUACAACUUAUACCUGCAACAAUCACUUACCCAUAAGACACAUUUAACUUGGGGCUGUGAUGUAGGUUGCAUCUUGCAUUGUCUUCUAGCUUGUACUGCUUCUAAUUUCUUGAAAUGGCACUUAUGAUGAGACACUUUUUACCUGAUAGAGUGAUAUUGGUUUCAUGUUCAUAUGGUGCCUAGCUUUCAUUUCUUCUAAUUUUGUUGAAAUGCCUUAUGCUUACUUUGUUCAUACAUAUUCCAUCCUCCCAUCGUAUGUGUGAAUAUGCAACGCUGUGUUUUUUCGUAUAUAUUCCAUCCUCCUAUCCUGCGCUUGCCUUACAUCAAAGUAGUGUUCGUAUCUACCAUGCAUCAACCAGUUAUGCAGAGCUAAUUUUAUUCAUCUUCUUAUGGUUUUGACUUCAGAAGGAAAUAUCAAAAAAUAGGAGAAAAAGAGUAAGUUAGGGGAUGUUGGUGGUCCUCCGCACCGACGCAAACAGAUACUCUCUAGAUUUGCCACUGCUAUUGCUAAUGAAGUUGAAGUCCCAAGUCUACAUGAUGAGUUCAUCUCCCAUACUCCACCAUCGCAGGUGCUUGCUCUAAGUUGACAGUGUGAUAAUUAGUUUCAUGUUGCAUAUGUUGUCUAGCCUGUAUUUCUAUUUUGAUUAAAUUGCACCUGCUGAGUUUAUACAUUAUACAUGUGCAUAUGACAUGGCUUUCUAUGUCUGGAAUACACUGCAUCUAUCUAUCAUACCAUGUUCUUACAUCAAAGUACUAUUGUUGUGUAUCCCGCAUCAGUCACUCAUGAUUGGACGCUUUUAACAUGGCAGUUUGAUAGUGGUUGCAUCUUGCAUUGAUUUUCUAUGUUGUAUUGCUUCUAAUUUUUCGAAUUGCCACUUAUGACAAGAAACUCUUAACUUGGCAGAGUAAUAUUGGUUACAUCUUUCAUAUGGUGUCUAGCUUGCAUUACUUCUAUUUUCUUCAAAAUCCUUCUGCUUAGUUUACACAUCGUAGCUGUGAAUAUGUCACGUCGUCUUGUUUUUCUUACAUAUUCCAUCCUCAUACGGUUGUCUUACAUCAAAGUAUUGCUUGUCUGUAUCAUGCAUCAAUGAGUUCUGAAGAGCGAUUUUAUUCUUUUGUGUUGUGGGUACGGCUUGACAUGGCAAAGUCAAAAAAGAGCAAGGAAAAGAAUAUAGUAGGGAAUGGUGUUACUCAUUGGGUGAAACGGAAAAGGAUCUGCCCUCGAGAUUCUGCUGGUACUUAUAGUGCAGUAGAAGGUCCAAGUCCAUCGGCUAAAUCUACAAACACAGUAUCACCUGCUCCACCAGCUGCAGCAUCCGCUUCAACUAUACCAGCAUCUCAAUGAGUUACUCGUUCGUUUGCUCCAGAACUGGCCAAUUCCCAAGCUGCCUUCACACCUAACACUACUUUCAAAGCACUGCUGACAUAAUAGGACUUGUCAAGGUCAGAUGAACCUCAUGAGCAUCAACACCAAGAUGGUACCUGACCGAGUCAAGUUGCAGUUGCAUGCUCUUUUAUAUGUACUCUCACAGUUUGAUGUACACUUUUCCAUAUUCGUUGUUGAACUAGCACCACGGCGCAAGCGGAAACAGACAUCAGGGAUAAUGCUUGAUAGAUUAACAAAAUCUAAAGGAGGAAGAAUGGAGAUCCAUUUUGAGGCAGGUUUAAAAAGGUCACGUGAUGCUACAGAGUCAGCCAAGUUAGUACAGAGGCAGCCGUUGCCGUUAGGUGUCAUGCACGUAUCCUCCCAACGUGGAUCCAGUACAAUAAUGAGAAAGACAAUACCCAGUUUAACACCUUCCUUGACCUUUAUCCGUAAGUAAUGUUAUUCAUCACAAUUAGUAAUAUUGUCUUGCUCUGUCCCAUACUUUCUAGCUUCCUCCUAAUAAGACUCACAUUCUUUUUUCAAGAGAUGAGGUUCAAGUUGGAUCCGAAAGAUGAUGCAACUAAACAAGCAUGGACUCAUGUUUUUUAGUCUGCUCUGCGACAGUAUCAGUACCACCUUAGAAAAUCUCACUUUGAAGGCAAGGCUAACAAUGAAAUUGCCCAAACAUCUCCAGUGGAAUAUAUUACAGAUGAAGACUGGACAGCCCUUGUUGAACACUGGCCUGAUCCAAAGUAUCAGGUAGGCUAUAUGUAUUUGAUCAGACCACAUAUUGAACUUGUAUUUAUGUAUGUGCCUUACAAGUGUAUCUUUUUCUAGGCUAACUGUUUGAAGAACAAGACCAACCAUUCUAAAGUGAAAUUCCAACAGACAAUAGGAUCUCGUACCUAUAUUGCACACUGCGAGGCUCCUGUAAAUAGCUGCUACUUCCUUCUUUUUUCUGUGCCAUAUUAUCGUAUCUAUAUUGACUUGUUCCAAAUACAGAGGAAAGCCCGUGCGGACCAAAAAGAACCUGAACCGAAUGCAGUGCAAAUCUUCAAGGAUUGCCACACCAACAAGAUGAAGGGCAUGAGCACACCAGUUCAAGCUGCUGUUGUAAGUCCUUACUCCUCCUUCCUUUGAACUGAUUGGUACUGUGAUGUGUUCAUUUAACUGCUUGGUUUGCAGCCAAUGUCAGUUACUCUGUUCACUUUUAUAAACAGUUUCUUAACGUAUCAUUUCACCUUACAUGGUUUAAAAGAGAUGAAGGAUAUUCUUUUGGUCUUGAUCUGUAAUCUAGUUGUUAUGUUCACGUGCGCACACACAAUGAUAAAAUAGCAUGUUUGUUCUAUAUCUGUUUGCCCAUGAUAUGAAUGAUGUCAUACUAUGUUCAUCCUACUUUAAACAAUGUCUCUUUAUCCUUAGAUGUCAAUGAAUGUGAGGAAAUAGACAAUACAAUAGGCAUGCUACAUGGACAUAUGUUUCGAAAGUGAUUUUAUUAUGUAGUUGGCACUACAAUACAUGCUAAUGUAUUACAGUAGUUCACCAAAAUAAGUUAUGUAUAAACAUGUAACCUACUUUGUUUGUUUUUGUCUCAUUAGUAACUUAUCUGGUACACUAAUCUACAAGUUCAAACUUUCAGCAAGCUAUGGAACAAAUGAUUGAACAGCCACAACCACCUGAAGGUGACGAGGCUACCACAGGCACAAUGUCACCUCUUGUUGCAGUGCUUCAGUAUCUCUCCACUAAUAGUGCAAAAAGCACCUUCCUGCGUAAUUCUGGGUUGGUUGUCAAGGUAACCUCGUCCAAAUCGCCUACUGAACAAAAUCUUCCGGCUAGACAGAGUGAUAUAUCUGUGCUCCAGACACAAGUCCAAUCCCUAAUGGACGUCUUUACGGAAACAAGAAUAGUGGUUGACAAAUGUCGUCAAGAUAUGAAUGGUUUUGAAACCAGACUAUCAGACAUUCGCUUCGUUGUUCAAGAGCAAUGGCGAAAAAAGGUGAAGAUCGUGCUGCUCCAUCAGAUUCUACAGCCUGAAACAUUAGCACUCGGGUCAAAUGAUAUGUGCUUCUAUACAUCUGAUGGUGCUUUUAUCUGCAAGGACUGUAAACUUUAUGCCAACAGGCCUUUUGUUGUAUGGCUGGAAUUUAUUUUGUUGUGAUACAUCAUUUAUGAUGCUGCCAAAGGCUACAGUAAUUACGGCACUAUUUUUGUAUAGUGUAGGUUUAUCUUAGACAUGUAUACGGCUGAAAGCUUCGUAGGAGCCCAACAUGCCAACAUUCGUCGGGCCCAUUCCAAUUGGGCUAAAAACGAUUAUGGGAUGAAAUUUGCAUGUAGCCCACUAAAAAUAUUUGGGCCUAAAUCAGCACAAGCUUUCAUAUUUUUCUGGUAGGCUUGUGCCCAUAGUGGGCCUUUAACAGGCCUAAACAUAAUUUGGGCCCUUAGUAACAAUAGGCCGUUUAUAGGUGUAAAUAUCUCAAGCCGAUAAAAACAUGGGUCUUUAAUAGGCCGAAAGUGAGAUUGGGCCCUGAUUGUGCCAAAUAACCCACUGGUCUUAGCAGGCCGAAAUGGUGGCCCGUUUACAAUGCGGAUCGUUCACAGGCCGAAAUUCGGAUGGGUUGUAAAUGCGCCAACCUACUACACGGGCCUUUAACAGGCUGGAAGUUCGGUCGGGCAUGAUUAGUGUCAUUUUUAUAUAGGUCGUUAAUGGGCCCGAUGUGACAUUGGGCCACAUAUGGCCCAUGGAUUUCGUCCGACGUUAGCAGGCCGAAAAUCACAACAGGCUGAAAGUGGCCCAAAUCUAUAGUGGGCCUCUAACAGACCGAAUAUGACCCAAAUCCUUCAUGGUCAUUUAUGGGCCAAAAGUUUCAAUGGCCUGUAAAUGGGCCCAAAUGAAGCAGGACCUUUGACAGGCCGAAAAUACACCAGGCCGUAAUUCGGCCCAAAUACUUAGCGGAUUGUUAACGGGCCAGAAGUGACCAUGGGCCGCGAUGAUGACAAGUUUAGGACGGGUCAUUGACGGGCCGAUUUGACACUAGUCGUACAGGCCUUAACUAAGAAUGUUGGGCCUUUGCUGGGCCGGCCCAUUAUGGUCUGCAAAAUCUUAUUGGCCUUUAGCUAGGCCGACCCAUUAUGGCCCGCUAAAUCUUGUGGGCCUUUAGUUGGGCCAGCCCAUUUAAACCUUAUGGGCCACUUUUGGGCCCAUCCAUGUGUCAACAUAUAAUAGGCCCAUCUCGACCAUUGGAUGAGUGACACCUAUGCCAACGCGGAGCUGACACAUGGUUCCGUCGGCCAAUGAGAAUUUUACACGUGGAAAAUCGGCAUUGUUCGUGGCUGUUAGCGGGUUAUCGGAUCCAAAAUCGGACCCGAUAGCUUAAUGUCGUUCUAUUACAGUGGAUGCCACAUGUUGGUCACCCUUGACGAAAGCACUUCUAUGACGCGUGAUUUAUCAUCAUGGAAGUGGACACUUCCACGAUGAUAAUUUUGGUAAUGUCAUAAAACACUUCUACAACAGCACAGGUAUGAUUGUCUUGAUUCCGUCAUAAAAUCGUCAUGGAUGUACAUGCAUGACAGAAAACGUGACCUACUAUGACAAACACGUAUCAUCAUGGAAGUGUAUUUUUUUGUAGUGUUGAGGCCAGUCUUUUUGCAUACCCGCUUGACUGAUAUUUUGAAAAUGCCUCCUUACGCAAAGUACAUGAAAGAUAUCAUCACCAAUAAGAGGAAAAUACCGGAAGCUGAAAUCUCCACCAUGCUUGCUAAUCACACUUAAGAUGGAGUACCUAAAAAACUUGGAGAUCCGGGAAUACCAACUAUACCUUGCUCCAUCAAAAUAAACUAAGUGAAAACUACUUUGUGUGAUUUGGGAGCUGGUGUUAGUGUUAUGCCUUUGUCUUUAUAUAAAAGACUUGAUUUGAAUAAACUCACACCUACUUAAAUAUCUUUGCAAAUGGUCGAUAAAUCAACUGCCAUACCUAUCGGUAUUUGUGAGGAUGUGCCCGUUGUUGUUGCUAAUGUUACUAUUUUGAGUGACUUUGUUAUACUUGAGAUGCCCGAGGACGACAACAUGUCGAUUAUCCUUGGUAGACCUUUCUUGAAUACUGCAGGGGCUGUUAUCGAUUGUAAUAAAAGCAAGAUCACUUUUCAUAUUAAUGGUAAUGAGCAUACGGUGCACUUUCCGAAGAAACAAUUCCAAAUGAAUGUUAUUAAUGUUGUUGAAAAAUCUCCGACAAUCACUAUUGGAAGUUUUCAACUACCUCUACCUACUGUUAAAAAGAAAUAUGAAAUGCUUAUUGUUGGGGACAUUCAUAUCCCCAUUGAGGUAACUUAGUGAUUUACGAAAGUUCUUCGGUUUCAUGCUAAUCAAAAGUGGUUGUUAAUAAGACAUGAUCAACCUUGUUAAUGGACCAUUUUUUAGAGGUAUGAAGUUGAUGAAUUUAGUGAGCACUACUUUCUGUCCCUACCUUUUGUUUUCUGUUCUUAUAUGUUAAAUAAAAUAAAAUGCCAUGUUUUGUCUGUUUUCUAAAUUUCCCAUGGAAUAAAAAAUGACCCAAAAAUAAAAGUUCUCAGAAUGCUCUGAAAAUUUAACACGAUUUUUUCUGAAUAUUUAUGAAUUUCUGGUGCAAAUAACAUCAGAGGGAGGUGCACCAGGUGGGCACAACCCACCUGGGCGCGCCAGGACCCCCAGGCGUGCCCUGGGGGGUUGUGGUCCCCACGUGGGCCCCCUCACUUAUAUCUUCAUCCCACAUCACCGCCUAUCUCCAGACAAAAUCAAUAUUGCUCUCUCUCUCUCUCUCUCUCUCUCUCUCUCUCUCUCUCUCUCUCGUGUUCUUGCUCUCAAACCCGUGGAUUUCGAUCUCUUUGCUCCAAGCUCCAUUUUGAAACUGUUUUGGGGGAUUGUUGCUUGGUAUGUGACUCCUCCAUUUCUCCAAUUAGUUUUUGCUUUAGUGGUAUUUAUUUUGAAUAAUUAGUUGCUCUUGGUGCUGCUGUAGAUGAGCUUACAUGUUGAAUUCUUAGAGUUCUAAGUAGUUUGAAUGCUUGUUAUGGCCUCUAUGCACCCUUAUGAGUAGUUGAUAUCAAUCUUAUGAAGUUUUGUUGAGGAAAUUUUGUGGACUAAAAAUUUCAGAAUUUUGUUCAUAGGAAAAACAUGAGUAUGUUUAGGAAGUUUGCUUCCAAGAAGAACUCCAAAGGAGUGAUUGGGAGUCAUCUGACAGUGAUCUCUAUACCCGGAGAAUGGCGGAGAUACGGCCGUGCGAAUGGCCGCAUAAUCCAUUCAUGGAAGGGGUCAGAAUCCUUCAGGAGUUUACACAAUACGCUGCUAAUGCCGGCCUCACUGACUUCAUCGCAGCUGAAUGUGAAUAGUAUCAUCUCCUCACAAACUCCUUUGUGCAAAGUUUCAAUUUCCUUCCAAGUAAUAACCCCCCUGUGGUAGAAUUUAAUUUAUACGCUGAACCCCAUCAGAUACCGCGCGCUACUGAAUUUAGAAGAGCCUAGGGCCUGCAGAGUUCGAAGGCCUCUAUCAUACUCUGUCUGUAGGAGAUGAGAGAGGGGUGUCCAGUGUCACCGCCACUAGCUUGCACUUUCCUACCGUGCAUUAUUUUGCUCUAUUCAUUGCAAAGUGAUUGCUUGCUAGAGAAAAGGAGGGUGCACUUAGUGCCCCAGACCUUGCUGUUUUAUGCCAUGCACUCCAAGGCAACACCACUUAUAGCUUGGGAGCAAUUGUGGCACGCCGCCUUCACAUUAAUAAAUCCAAGGGCAAAAUACAUGGUGGUAUUUACACUACUCGCUUGGCUAAUCGCUUUAACAUUCAGAUACGCCCACAUGAUUAUCCGUUGCCCAAGGUUCACCUAUAUCACGCGGCCAUGGAACACCACUAGUUUGUUGCAGGCGAUUACCCUAACAUUCAUGUUCCUUAUAACCUGGUUUUUAGUGUGAACACUCGUGAUAUUAUUCCAUUGCAUGCACAUGCUUUGUUUGAUCCUAUUGCCAGGGGUGGAUACAGGAGUAUGCCUGCGGACAUCGUCGCCUACCGGAACAACCUAGCUGCAACACAGGCCCAGCCUCAGCAGUAGGAUCCACAGGUGCCCGCUCCUCAACAUUUCAACAUUGGAACCAAUGGUUUCUUCGACUAAUUAUUACCAAGUUAGGCCAAAAGCCUAAGCUUGGGGGAGUACGUAUUUUCACUGACAUUACAUUCAUGUUUACACAUUUCAUUUGUCGGUGUUUACACUUUUUCAUUGUAUUAUCCAUGCUAAAUUUAUUUUCUUACUUUCUUCUUAUGUGUUUGAAAAACUUUGAGAAAAUCCAAAAAAUAUUUCCUGCUUAUUUUUUAUUUUUCUUCCUUGUUUAAUUUGUUGUAGCACUAAAAAGAAAACCCAAAAAGGUUUCCUUGUUCUUCUUUUACCUGUUGGGAGCGUUCCCGUGUAAAUAGUUUUUCUUGUUUUUGUUUUUCUCUUUUAUUUGUUUGUUUAGAAAAAACCAAAAACUCCAAAAAUAUUUCAGUGUGUUUCUCUGAAUUUCUUUUCUUUUCAUUGAGUCAUACCGAGGAGAAGACCAUGAUGAAAAUGUUGGGUGACUCUCAUAUGCAUUAAUGUUGAUCUAACAAAGAGCCCAUUUUACCUUGUCUUCUCCUGUUGAAUAAAAUGUUUGCAGAUUCCAGCUUAGUUCAUGGCACUCUUGGACUAUUAUUAUUUUCAUACCGUUCGGUUGUGCAAGUGAAAGGCAAUAAUGACGAUAUUGGAUGAACUAGCUGUGGCAGAGAGAAAAGGGUAUGAACUCGACUUGUUCUGUUUUUGUAAAUAUGUUUAACCUAGUAUCCAUGAUUCAGCCCAUUAUGAUUAAAUAUGUUUGCAAUGACAAUUGGAGAUUAUAGUUUCUCAUGCCAUGCAUAAGUAGCUAGCAGUGGAUAAUGAUUUAUCUUGGAUGUCAACAUUGCGUUAAAACGAUUGUGAUGUAGUAUGAUGAUAUGGUAUGCUCCUUUGAAUGUUCGAGUGACUUGACUUGGCACAUGUUCAUGCAUGUAGUUGAAUCAAAACCAACAUAGCCUCUAUGACAUUUAUGUUCAUGGUCUUCAUAUCCUACUCAUGCUAGUGUCCAAUGUUACUUAUGCAUAAUGCAUGUUCAUGACCGUUGUUGCUCUCUAGCUUGCCGCUUCUCAACCUAUUUACUAGCCUUCGCCUAUAGUAAGUGAGAAUUCUGCUUGUACAUCCAAAACCUGAAACCCAAGUUAUUCCAGAUGAGUCUACCAUACCUACCUAUAUGCGGUAUUACCCUCCCAUUCUAAGUAAAUUUGCAUGUGCCACCUCUAAGAACUUCAAAUAAAUAUCCUUUUUGUGUGCUUGGAUUGUUCAUAAAACGACAGGAGGUAGUCGGUAUCUUCCAUGCUAAGUGGGUUAUUCUCAGGUUGAGUGUUUAUUCACUCGCCAUUGCAUGAGAAAGGGGUGGGUAAUAGGGAUGCCCAGUCCCAAACUGCAAAAAUUGAGCUUACAAUAAUCAAACAAAAACUCCUAUGGAGUAAUAACAUUUACUUUAUCGCUUGGGAACUGCCACUAAUGUGUUUAGCAUGGAAGAUAUUGAUAAUUGAUGGUUGCGAAGUAAACAAGAAGGGUGCAUUUCUCAAAAUAUCAUUUACCACUUUUUAAAAAACUUGAGCUCUGGCACCUUUGCAAAUCACUGCUUCCCUCUACAAAGGGACUAUCUAUUUACUUUUAUGUUGUGUCAUCACCUUCUAAAAUAAGCGCCAGAACCUGAGAGCACUGUUGUCAUGCUUAUGCAUGGUGUGUAGCUAAUGUUGGGUGCAUCAUGACUGGAUCUUUCCUACCAUGAAUUACAAUGUUUAAUCGCUUCUUGAACUUUGGAGGUCCUCUGCAUUUAUGUUUUGCAGUCUCAGAAAGGGCUAGCGAGAUACCACUAUUGUCAUAUUAUAUCAUGGUUGUUUUGACAACGUGUUGCUGUCUGAGAUAUCUUAUUAUUUCUCGCUAGCUGAUUAUGUCAUCGAUAUGAGUUAAUAUAAUUUUUAAGAGUUAUUGUCAACAUGGUUAGUUAUAAUUUUGGCCGAAAACUUGGGUGAUACUUAAGCUUAUUUAUGCAAACAAGAGCAAAAGAGUUCGUAAAAGUUUUUCUUUUUCACUUUCAGUUUAUCAACUGAAUUGCUUGAGGACAAGCAAAGGUUUAAGCUUGUGGGAGUUGAUACGUCUCCGUCGUAUCUACUUUUCCUAAUGCUUUUCCUCUUGUUUUGGACUCUAAUUUCCAUGGUUUGAAUGAAACUAACCCGGACUGACGCCGUUUUCAGCAGAACUACCAUGGUGUUCUUAUUUGUGCAGAAAUAAAAGUUCUCGAAAUGGAACGAAACUUUUCGAGGAUUUUUUAUACAAUAAAAGAGAAUUUCUGGAGCCAAGAACCAUCAGAGGGUGGCACCUGGGUGGGCACAACCCACCAGGGCACCCCCCCUCCAGGCGUGCCCAGGUGGGUUGUCCGCACCUGGUGGCCCCGCAGACUCUGAAACCGACGCUAUAAAAUCCUAUUUCUCCAAAAAAAAUCAGGGAGAAAGAAUUAUCGCAUUCUAUGAGACGGAGCCGCCGCCGUCUCCUGUUCUUCAUCGGGAGGCCAGAUCUGGACUCCGUUUGGGGCUCCAGAGAGGGGAUCUUCGAUCUUCGUCAUCACCAACUCUUCUCCAUCGCCAAUUCCAUGAUGCUCCCCACCGGGAGUGGGUGAUUCCUUCGUAGGCUCGCUGGUCGAUGAGGAGUUAGAUGAGAUUCAUCAUGUAAUCGAGUUAGUUUUGUUAGGGCUUGAUCCCUAGUAUCCAUUAUGUUCUGAGAUUGAUGUUGCUAUGACUUUGCCAUGCUUAAUGCUUGUCACUUUAGGCCUGGGUGCCAUGAUUUUAGAUCUGAACCAUUUAUGUUAUCACCAUUAUAUCUAUGUUCUAGAUCCGAUCUUGCAAGUUGUAGUCACCUACUACGUGUUAUGAUCCGGCAACCCCGGAGUGACAAUAGUCGGGACACUUCCCGGUGAUGACCGUAGUUUGAGGAGUUCAUGUAUUUACUGUGUGUUAAUGCUUUGUUCCGGUUCUCUAUUAAAAGGAGGCCUUAAUAUUCCUUAGUUUCCAAUAGGACCCCGCUGCCACGGGAGGGUAGGAUAAAAGAUGGCAUGCAAGUUCUUUCCAUAAGCACGUAUGACUAUUUAUGGAAUACAUGCCUACAUUAUAUUUAUGAACUGGAGCUAGUGUCGUAUUGCCCUAGGUUAUAACUAUCACAUGAUGAAUAUCAUCCAACAAAUCGCCGAUCCAAUGCCUACGAUUUUCCUACAUAUUGUUCUUGCUAAGUUACUACUGUUAUCGUUACUAUUGCACUUGCUACAAAACUACUACUAUCACUGUUACCGUUACUAUUGUUGCUGCUACUAUUAUCAAAAUUAUCAUACUUUGCUACUGAUCACUUUGCUGCAGAUAAUUAAUCUCCACGUGUGGUUGAAUUGACAAAUCAGCCACUAAUACUUACAAAUAUUAUUUGGCUCCCCUUUGUCGAAUCUAUAAAUUUGGGUUGAAUACUCUACCCUCGAAAAACUGUUGUGGUCCCCUAUACUUGUGGGUUAUCAAACAUCUCUAUGUUGAUCAUAUCUACUAUAUGAUUCACGUUCGACCUUUCGGUCUCUAGUGUUUCGAGGCCAUGUCUUUACAUGAUAGGCUCGUUAAGUUUAACCCAAGUAUUCCGCAUGUGCAAAACUGUCUUGCACCCGUUGUAUGUGAACAUAGAGUCUAUCACACCCGAUCAUCACGUGGUGUCUCAACACGACGAACUAUCGCAACAGUGCAUACUCAGGGAGAACACUUAUACCUUGAAAUUUAGUUAAGGGAUCAUCUUAUAAUGCUACCUCCGAACUAAGCAAAAUAAGAUGCAUAAAAUAUAAACAUCACAUGCAAUCAAAAUAUGUGACAUGAUAUGGCCAUCAUCAUUUUGUGAUUUUGAUCUCCAUCUCCAAAGCAUCAUCAUGAUCUCCAUCGUCACCGGCUCGACACCUUGAUCUCCAUCGUAGCGUCCUGGUCGUCUCACCAACUAUUGCUUCUACAACUAUUGCUAACACACAGUGAUAAAGUAAAGCAAUUACAUGGCGUUUGCAUUUCAUACAAUAAAGAGAAAACCAUAAGGCUCCUACCAGUUGCCAAUAAUUUUUACAAAACAUGAUCAUCUCAUACAAUAACGUAUAUCACAUCAUGUCUUGACCAUAUCACAUCACAACAUACCCUGCAAAAACAAGUUAGAUGUCCUCUACUUUGUUGUUGCAAGUUUUAUGUGGCUGCUGCGGGCUUCUAGCAAGAACCGUUCUUAACUACACAUCAAAACCACAACGGUGUUUCGUCAAGUUUGUUGUUUUAACAUUCUUCAAGGACCAGCCGUAGUCAAAUUCGAUUCAACUAAAAUAGGAGAAACAGACACCCGCCAGCCACCUUUAUGCAAAACUAGUUGCAUGUUUGUCAGUGGAACCGGUCUCAUGUGCGUGGACAUGUACGGUUGGUCUGGGCCGCUUCAUCCCACAAUACCGCCGAAUCAAAUAAGACAUUGGUGGUAAGCAAUAUGACUAUCACCGCCCACAACUCUUUGUGUUCUACUCGUGCAUAUCAUCUACGCAUAGACCUGGCUCUGAUGCCAUUGUUGAGAAACGUUGCAUGGAAAACAGAAAAUUUCUACACACACGGAAUGAUCUAUCCAUGGAGAUGCAUAGAAACAAGGGGGAGAGUGUGUCUACAUACCCUCGUAGACCGUAAGCAGAAGCGUUUCACAACGUGGUUGACAUAGUCGAACUUCUUCUCACGUCAACCGAUCAAGUACCGAACGCACGACACCUCCGCGUUCUGCACACGGUCAGCUCGGUGACGUCCCUCACCUUCUUGAUCCAGAAAGUCAUCAAGGUAGUAGAUGAGUUUCGUCAGCACAACGGCAUGGUGACAGUGAUGGUGAACUUAUCUCCGCAGGGCUUCGCCUAAGCACUACAAAAAUAUGAUCUGGGGUGUAAACGGUGGAGGGGGGCACCGCACACGGCUAACAAAUGAUAUGGUGUGUGCUAGGCGCCCCCCUCCUCAUAUAUAUAUAUAGGUGGGAGGGAGAGGGGAAAGGCCAAGGGGCGCCCCAAGUAGGUCCCAAUCCUACUUGGGCUCCUGCCCUUGGUCGCGCCCCCUGCCAUGUUUGUUGGAGGGGGAAGGAAAGAGGGGAGGAGAGGGAAGGAAGGGGGAAUCCUAUUCCACUCUUUCCUUUCCCUUCCCUUCUUUCCUUCUCCUCCUAGGCCAGCCCAUAUGGGGGGCGCACCAGCCCCUUGUGGCUGGUGCGUUUCCCCUCUUGGCCCAUAAGGCCCAUAUCUUUUGUCGGGGGUGCCCGGAACCCCUUCCGGUGACCCGAUAAGUACCCGGUACCCCCCAAAACACAUCCGGUGUCCGAAUACCAUCGUCUUGUAUAUAUCAAUCUUUACCUCUCUACCAUUUCGAUACUCCUCCUCAUGUCCGUGAUCUCAUCCGGGACUCUGAACAACAUUUGGUCACCAAAUCACAUAACUCAUAUAAUACUAUAUCGUCUUCGAACGUUAAGCGUGCGAACCCUAUGGGUUCGAGAACUAUGUAGACAUGACCGAGACACCUCUUCGGUCAAUAACCAAUUGCGGAACCUGGAUGCCCAUAUUGGCUCCUACAUAUUUUACGAAGAUCUUUAUCGGUCGAACCGUUAUGACAACAUACGUAAUUCCCUUUGUGCGUCGGUAUGUUACUUGCCCGAGAUUCGAUCGUCGGUAUCUUCAUACCUAGUUCAAUCUCAUUACUGGCAAGUCUCUUUACUCGUUCCGUAAUACAUCGCCUUGUGACUAACUCCUUACUCGUUUGCUUGCAAGCUUAUGAUGUGUAUUACCGAGAGGGCCCAGAGAUACCUCUCCGAUACUCGGAGUGACAAAUCCUAAUCUCGAUCUAUGCCAACUCAACAAACACCUUCGGAGAUACCUGCAGAGCAUCUUUAUAAUCACCAAGUUACGCUGUGACGUUUGAUAGCACAUAAGGCAUUCCUCCGGUAUCCGGGAGUUGCAUAAUCUCAUAGUCGAAGGAAUAUGUAUUUGACAUGAAGAAAGCAAUAGCAAUAAAACUGAACGAUCAUUAUGCUAAUCUAACGGAUGGGUCUUGUCCAUCACAUCAUUCUCCUAAUGAUGUGAUCCCGUUAUCAAAUGACAACACAUGUCUAUGGUUAGGAAACCUUAACCGUCUUUGAUCAACGAGCUAGUCUAGUAGAGGCAUACUAGGGACACGGUGUUUGUUUAUGUAUUCACACAUGUAUUUAGGUUUUAGAUCAAUACAAUUAUAGCAUGAAUAAUAAACCUUUAUCAUGAAUAAGUAAAUAUAAAAUAACAACUUUAUUAUUGCCUCUAGGGCAUAUUUCCUUCAAAUUUCUCUAAAGGGCUCAUGAUUGGGUCAUGAAUAUAACAUUGACUUAAGCCUCCCCCAAGCUAGAGCGAUACUUUCUCCUUCACGAGGCCAGAAAUUAUAUAUAUAAUUUCGAUCACGAUGAACUAGAAGCACAUGAUAAUUUUUUUGGUGAAAUUCCAAUUUCAAUCGAUUUCGUUCCAAGAUCCAAUAUCAUCGCUAGCCUAUACCAUGUCAAUGCUUUUCCCUUCAAAGAUAAAGGGAAAACCUUCUUCUUAGCUUCAUCUCUGGAUAAACCUGCAAGCUUAAAUAAUCAAGAAAUUUCAUCUACAUAUAUCAAGUGCAUAUCAGGAUGUUCAGUUCCAUCUCCUACAUAGGGAUUGGCUAGCAGUUGUUCCAUCAUACCCGAAGGAAUUUCAUAACCAAUAUUUUUAGUAGGUGCAGUAGGUUGAGGGGCAACUAAUUGUGCUUCCAGUCGAGGUGAAGAUACCCCGAACAAACCCCUCAAUGGAUGGUUUUCCAUAGUAACAAGUGACAAUAAAUUUUAGCACGUAGUAAUAAUUUUUUCCUUACCAAUUUCCACUUACCAAGAGCGCUUCACUCCCCGGAAACGGCGCCAAAAAAGAGUCUUGGUGACCCACAAGUAUAGGGGAUCAAUCGUGGUCCUUUCGAUAAGUAAGAGUGUCGAACCCAACGAGGAGCAGAAGGAAAUGACAAGUGGUUUUCAGCGAGGUAAUUUCUGUAAGCACUGAAAUAGUCGGUAACAGGUAGUUUGAUAGCAAGAUAAUUUGUAAUGGACAAGUAAAGGUAACUGUAAAUAAAGUGCAGCAAGGUAGCCUAAUCCUUUUCUGGCAAAGGACAUGCCAAAAUAGUCUCUUAUAAUAAGCAAAGUGUUCUUGAGGGUACACGGGAAUUUCAUCUUGUCACUUUCAUCAUGUUGGUUUGAUUUGCUUUCACUACUUUGAUAAUUUUGAUAUGUGGGUGGACCCGGUGCUUGGGUGUUGUUCUUACUUGAACAAACCUCCCACUUAUGAUUAACCCCCCCCCCCGGCAAGCAUCUGCAACUACAAGAAAAGUAUUAAAAUAAAAUCUAACCAUAGCAUUAAACAUUUGGAUCCAAAUCGGCCCCUUACAAAGUAGCGCAUAAACUAGGGUUUAAGCUUCUGUCACUUUAGGAACCCAUCAUCUAAUAACUACUCCACAAUGCAUUCCCUUAGCCCCAAAUAUGGUGAAGUGCCAUGUAGUCAACGUUCACAUGACACCACUAAGGGAAUCACAACAUACAUAUCAUGAAAAUAUCGAACACAUAUCAAGUUCACAUGAUUACUUGCAACAUGAUUUCUCCCAUGACCUCAAGAACUAAAGUAACUACUCACAAAUGAUAAUCAUGCUCAAGAUCAGAGGGGUAUUAAAUAGCAUAAUGGAUCUGAACAUAUAAUAUUCCACUAAAUAAAUCUUAUAGUAAUCAACUACAAGAUGUAAUCAACACUACUAGUCACCCACAAGUACCAAUCUAAGGUUCCGGUACAAAGAUUGAACACAAGAGAUGAACUAGGGUUUAGGAGGAGAUGGAGUUGUUGAAGAUGUUGAUAGAGAUUGCCCUCCUAAAUAUGAGAGGGUUGUUGGUGAGGACGAUGGCUUUGAUUUCCCCCUUCGGGAGGGAAGUUCCCCCGACGGAAUCGCUCCACGGAGGGCAAACGUGCUCCUGCCCAAGUUCUGCCUCGAGAUGGUGGCGUUCCAUCCCGAAAGUCCUCUCCUUAUUUUUUCUAGGUCAAAAUGACUUAUAUACCAGAAGAUGGGCACCGGAGGUGGGCUGGGCUGAGCACAACCCACUAGGGCGCGCCUGGGGGGGCAUGGCGCGCCCUGGUGUAUUGUGCUCACCAGGUGGCCCCUUUCGGUAGUUAUUUGCUCCAGUAUUUUUCAUAUAUUCCAAAUUAAUUCUCCGUGAAGUUUUAGCUUAUUAGGAGUUGUACAGAAUAGGUAACUUUGACGUAGCUUUUUCAAGUCCAAAAUUUCAGCUGCCAGCAUUCCCCCUCUUUGUGUAAACCUUGCAUAUUAUGAGAGAAAAGGCAUUAGAAUUACUCCAUAAAGAUUUAUUAUGCAUAAAAAUAUUGUAAAUAACAGUAAGAAAUCAUGAUGCAAAAUGGACGUAUCAAAUGACCGGCCAUUGGUGCCCGCGGUUUGCUUGUAGUACUCAUUGGCAUUGUGAUCCUAAAAACAAACAUUGAGACAACUAUGAGCUCAUGCACUUCAUAUCAACACGACCAAAGAGACAAAGAUGGUGAAAUCUCACAUAAUCAUCGAUGGUGACGCCACUUGGAGGUGCAUUCCGCACGGCCUCCAAGCACCCACUCCAAUGACCGCAAGCUUUUUUGAUGGUGUCCCAACACCCUUGGAGUGGCUUCAAGCUUCGAUCGGAAGGGAAUGGCAUCAUUUUGUGAUAUUUGUCCUCGAUUCUUUGCCAAUAGUUCUCAUAGGUUUGAUCCUUGCCGAUCAUGGCGUCAAGAGAGACGCUUUCCCAUGCUUUAACUAAGCACACAUCCUCCGUCUCCGUGUAGUUGCCUGUCCUCCCCACCCUAGAAUCAUAAUUGGACUCGUUGAUAUCUUGCACCUCAUCGUCAUUAUCUUCAUUCACCUCCGCCUCGACCUCAACAUAAGAUGCAUCAAAAUAACCGAGGUGGGCACUCAAAUCCACCGUGCUCUCGACCAACAUCUCGGCAUAUGUGGAGGGCACAUUUUGGCUACAAAAUUAAAUGGCCGAAGAUCAAACAAGUGUUGGGAACAGCCGAUGCAUGGAUCAUCGGAGCAAACCGAGCAAAAGAACAUGUUUAUACCUCCCGAUUGUUUCAUCAAACACAUUGUAUGCAUGCCCGGCCGCUUCGCUGUGAAUGUGGAUGCCAUCGUCGGCCGGAGGCAGAGGAGGAGCCCGACCCCUUGUCGCAAUCGCCUUCUUCCCCGGUGGCUUCGCCUGCGCACCGCUGGGCCAGUGGAGGUGGUCUUCUUCCUCCCGCCCGCACCUUUGGCGGGCGGAAUCAGAGAGAGGCCGAAGGAGGGUCGUGUCGCGCCAGCCGCGCCACCUUGGACGAUGUGGUUCCCCUGCCUCUUCCUUUUGAUGGCGGCGGCGGGAGGAGUUGGGGCAGCGGCGGAAGCCGUUGCCGGCGCGGGCGGACGGAGCGGCGACGACGGUGGAGGCACGAUCAGCGCAUGAUAUGAGGCACCCGGGGCGGCGGGUACUCCAUCCGGUCAAUUUCCGGUGCCGUGAGGCCGAACUGCGAGGUCAGAGGCGGGAUUGGAGGCGCGGGAGGCGAGAACUGAAACGACCGGAGUUUGCGUCAAGGGUAAGGGGACCCGACAAACUUGGGCGAAAUCUCGUAGAUAUGGAGGGAAUGGGCUCGCGGAUUCGAGAUCUCAAAUUUUUUCUUAGGACGAUUGGAUUUGAAGGAUCUGUUCGGGACGGGUAUACAGGAUGGAUCUCGUAAAUCGACAAUUAUUAUACCGAAUGGUUCUGUUUGCUCUUAGCCUGCCAAGAUUGGGACAUUGAUGUCUACCUAAAAAAAACUAUUGCUGCUAUUGGGCAAAGCGUGGCAGACAUUUACACCAAUACUCUACUAGCUUUUCUUCGUUAUUAGCAUAUAUGUAUCAUCUAGCCAUGCAAUGUACCCCCAUAAACCAAUAUUAAAACGCAUUAUACUAUUUCACUCCGGCAUGUGUAUUGAGUUAGUCUUACUCAGUCUUUUACACAUCCAGAACAAUCGUACAAGUAAUAACUAAAUGUUGCUGCCUGUUCGGUAAAUAUGUAUUGGUCUCUUUUGAACUAAGCACUUACUGUACAUUUUACAUUCUUUGUUUUCUAUUAAGUCAUUCCACAGAAUUCUGGUAGUAUGUAUUUAUAGAUCAAAACCAAGGCGUGUCGGCAUAUGAACAUAGGAAUGAAUGAGCUAUAAACAUUCACCAUAUGCCAAAAUCAGGGCACGAACCAAUCCAAUUAAAGAACAGCUCGACCAGAACAGAUGUACUACGUACUAAAGUUUGCACUGAAAUGAACAGUUUUGAUAAUAAAAAACUUCCACACUGUCAGCUCUAUGUGGAGCAAACUAUUUAAAGUUUCUUCCAUAAAAGAAAACGACAAAGACAAUCUUGUGCUUCCACGCGCGCGCUUCUGCCCGAUAGUGCCAAUUUAGCCGCACUCAAGAUGUUUGCUCCUCAAGAGUCCAGUACGAAAGCCACAUUCAUGAAUCUGGAAACAAACCCAGCCGACGUGGUUAGCCUCUACCUGCCCCGUCACACCACAGGUUUUGUUCGCACCAAACACCAACACAGCCCCAAUCAGCUCUAUGCUACCGAGCAGCUUCACCGAAACUGGACAGGCAGAUUUCUCCAACCAGCACAACCAGUCACUUGGCUGUGGGUUUCUAAUUUCUACUGUAAUUACAAAUCGCGAUUUCUUCAUGCAACAUCAAAUUGCUCUGCUUUUUGUUUAAUACUCCCUCCGUUCCUAAAUAUUUGUCUUUCUAGAGAUUUCAACAAGUGCCUACAUACGGAGCAAAAUGAGUGAAUCUAUACUCUAAAAUAUGUCUAUAUACAUUCGUAUGUGGUAGCCCAUUUGAAAUCUCUAAAAAGACAAAUAUUUAGGAACGGAGGGAGUACAUCAAAUCGCGAUUUGAUGUUGGUUGUGCUGGUUGUGCUGGUUGCAUAAAAGAAAUGUUUAACACUAGGCAUACUAACGAUUUUUCAGACCACAGCUAGUCGGAAAAAUAACCCAAUAGCUCUGAAACCAAAGAUGCCAUACUUGGUUUGUUUUUUCAGACUGGCUGCGAAUGAACAUACGUGCAUUUCACGGUUUUUUGUAACAUAUGACGCAUCAACUGCACUAGUGACCAGCUAGGUGAUAAAGAGAGAAGUUCCAUGGUUUGUUUUCAGAUUUGUUCAGGUUCACCGACGGUUGGCUAAAAUGAGUAGUGUCACAACUCAACUCAUAUGCAGAGGCCGGGGUUGCACCCCUUUUCCAAAAAAAACAAAAACAAAACACAACUCAACUCAUAUGGAUUUAGACGAUGAUGAAUAAGAAACCCAUAUCUAGUGGAGGCAUUUAUUGUGACAAGUGAGACAAGAUUGUUGAGGUGCUAUUUUGGGUAAACAUCUGACUCUGAAGGCAAUUUCGCGAAAAAACACAGCUUCAUUUCGAUCAAAAAUCUCAAAAAGAACACCAGAAACGGGAUAAGAUGAAUUCCCAACAGCUACAGCAGAUCCGACCUAACAAACAUCAACUAAAUUCAACAGGUUUAUCCUCGAACCAAACGAACCACAGUAAAGAAGCCUCGAAGAACUUGUAGCAACAAUUGCAAGCUGCUGAACAUUCAGCCUAUAGAGAACCUGAACUGUAGCAACAAUUGCAAGCUGCUGAACACGCAGCAAGCAACUAGAAGCUCACAAACAAUAGCAACAAACAAGUAGAACCUCUGAAUACUAUCAGCAAGUAAUUUGAACCUCGUGAUCAGCACCACUAUUGAAGUGCCUCAACUAGCAUCAAUCGCUUUGAUUAACAGCAAAAUCAGAAAACUAACUCCAGAACAGUAAAAGUAACAAGAUGAAGCCAGCAACCAGCAUCCCCAGCAUCUCCAGCACCAUCUUCAAUGGAGAUCAUCUUCUUCAGCGACCCGCAUCUCAAGCACCAUCUUCAGUGAAGAGCAAAAUCAAAAAGCUAACUCCAGAACAGUAAAGGUAACCAGAUCAAGCUAGCAACCACAUCAUCUUCCAUGAACAUCAUCUUCUUGUACAUGCGUUUCAAGCAGCUCCUCCUCGGCAGUUUCUUCAGUGCUAUCACCUCCUUGAAUCCUAAACCAUCAAUCAAGAACAAUCAAAACCUGAAUAUACUAGCAGCAAGCAGUACACAAGGGUAUGAACAGAUGAAGAAAAUCAUAACCUGAAGGGCAGCGCCCAGACUGCUGGCGCUACCGAUGAGGAGACCUCCUGAUCUGGAAAUGGUCGGUCGACCAAGCCGUGGGGCAGCCACACGCCCAUGUCAUUGUUAGGGUACACCUUGGGCCUGACCACAUCAAAGGUACUCGUGUCGAGGAAAUAAAUGCCAGAGCGCAGGUGCAGGUCCGAUGUAUUGAAGGAGCGUGAGCAGCCUCGCCCAACAAAGAUCAG